GGAUUUAGUUGCAUUAAUAACCUCAUAACAUUCUAAUUUUUAUUCCAGUCUUGGCUGGAAAUAGAAUCUCUGUAUUGAUUCAGGUAAAAACUGAACUUCACAGCAUGUUGAAGCAAAACAACCAGAUGAAAACUGUGAUGGUGUUGGAUUGUCAGACCGUAUUGUUGCAGCUCAAAGCAGCUUUUCUAUCUCAGUUCAUUCUGACAUUCAGUUAUGAAUCAACACAGCAGAUGGUGAUCCAUGCUGUGGAAGUCUCACAUCUCCUGAUUUAAUGGAGCUGCUUUGCACUUUUUACACUGUUUAUUCACCAACACUUUAUUUAAUAAAAGUCCCAUCUAGUUUUUAUGAGGAAUGUGAUGUUUUAAUUUCUCUGUGAAUAACUGCAGUCUAAUGCAACAGCUGGAGUUGUAACAUCUGUCCUGAUAUUGAUCAUGAAAUAUUGAUCAGAAUACUGAUGAUCAGCAGUCAUCCCUGAAGUUUUACAUUAAAAUCUUUACUUGUGUUGUGGACUUUGGUAAGAAGCAGAAACUUUUGCGUUGCCAUGGAUACAUGAGUGUUAAAUUCUGUCCAUGUUUCAUUUUGGGAAAUGCAGUCCAGUUCCAGAAUGUGGAGGAAUUUAGUCUCACAAUCACAGACAACAAAUAUUAUCUGAAAGUCGGGUUAUUGUUGUUUAUCAGCACAAUACAAAAAGAUUAAUGUUAGAAAUAUUCCAGUUAAGACUCUAGAAUAUCAUGAUUUAUGUAACUUUACCUCAAUAAUAUGAAUGUUCAGGUUAAGAUUGUGCAGUGAUAUUUAUUAUGUAAGUUUAGCUGAUUAAAGUUUAUGACUCUGCACUACAAUAUUAUUUAAAUUGACAUCAUUAUUAUAAUAUUUAGGGUCAGAUCCUACAGUAUUGAGAUUAAGAAAUCAAAUAUUCUAUAAAAUGUAAAUACACUGAACUCAUUUGGAUAUAUUUAAGUGAGACUCUACAAUAUUAUUUGACACAAAUCUAUCUAAAUCAAAAUUUUAAUAAUUUUCACGCCAAACAUUUACUGGACUGAUUUAAAUAUUAAAAUCACUCCUUUCUAAUCCUCUGCUGUAUGUUCAAACCUGAGGCCUUAAAUAGAAACACACAAGUCUCUGAUUGAAGGAACUUCUGCAGAGUCCUGGUUCCAGAACAUGAUGAUAGAAUUAUAGACAAACUUUAACAAAAGCUGCCUGAGAGUUUACAGGUUUUUAUGUUGGAUUUCUUCAGUAAUUUAAUGAGCGUUAUCAGCAAUAAUCAAGUGUUCAUUUGAUGAACUUCAUUUCCUAAAACAUCCAGAAUUGAAGCUCAUAUCUUUGGCAGCUGUAAAGUUUCUGCUCCUUCAAAGUUCACAACACAAUGAAUGAAUUCCUAAAACACUCUCAAUGCUGGAGAGCGUUUGUGAUGCUGAAGCAGUGACCAGUUUUUCUGUUUCUUCUCUGGAGAUGCACAAUGAGGGACGUCUGCAGAGACUGAGAAAGAGUCUCACCACAUCCUGACAUGAGGAAAAAGACUUUAUUGAAGACUGCAAUGAGAAAAACUAUCAGACAGCAGACGGCAUGCAUUCAAGUUGAGCUCUGAACAUUUGAUCUGGAACAGGAAUUCAAUAACGGCAGCAUGAGCUUCAUUUCAGUUUGUAGCUGCUGAAUUCAUGGAUGAAUCAUCUGGCACUAGAGAAGAAGACCAUCAAACAUCCAUGUCAGCUGAUGGAGGUCCAAGAGUCUCACCGAACAACCAACCUACAGAGUGAAGACCUCAAAUCUGAUUGGACGGCCUCCUAUUCAGCCACAUUGUUCCAGAUAAGACAAGUACAAGAUUCUUCAGAGCCGUUCUACCACGAGCCUGACAGGAAGAACUCCAACAGCUACUGAAUGUUCCUGUGGUUCCCUCAAGGCUACAGGAGGAGUCCUACGAGGACGAGCCGGUCC
ensembl:lncRNA